GAUGAACGCUAGCGGCAGGCCUAACACAUGCAAGUCGAGGGAGAAGCCCUUCGGGGCAGAAACCGGCGCACGGGUGCGUAACGCGUAUGCAACCUACCUUUCACAGGGGGAUAGCCCGAAGAAAUUUGGAUUAAUACCCCAUAAUAUUAUUGGAUGGCAUCAUUUGAUAAUUAAAACUGAGGUGGUGAAAGAUGGGCAUGCGUCCUAUUAGCUAGUUGGAGUGGUAACGGCACCCCAAGGCUACGAUAGGUAGGGGUCCUGAGAGGGAGAUCCCCCACACUGGUACUGAGACAGGGACCAGACUCCUACGGGAGGCAGCAGUGAGGAAUAUUGGUCAAUGGUCGGAAGACUGAACCAGCCAUGCCGCGUGCAGGAAGAAUGCCUUAUGGGUUGUAACUGCUUUUAUAUGGGAAGAAUAAGGAGUACGUGUACUUNGANGACGGUNCCA
rnacentral:rRNA from 1 species